GAGAGGGGAAGGACUAACAAGAAUGAAAAGAUAGGCAUAAAUAAAUGCAUGAAAUAAUGAAUGUUGCGGGAGGAAAGCGACGGUGGCUACCUCUGUUAUUUUAGAAAUUAAAUAAGUAUAUGCCCCAACCUUAGUAGUAUUAUUAUUCAUCGACAGAUUUUGAGGGCCUGUGCCGCGACAAAGGGACCCAAUGCCGGACGUCCUCCGCUUUUGCCGCUCACUUUAUAUCAACUACGGUUAGCAAAAGAAAACGUUAACCAUGGUUACGUUGGACUAGAAUAAUUAAAGUUCCAGCGAAUUGUACACUCUGAUUUUCCCGAAGCUUAAUCAGAGCCGCGGGAUUUUUUUUUCUCCCCCAUUGAGAGGUCGACACGCGACAUCACUUUUUUGGAAGCUUUGCUGACAGUAGUUUCUGUGACUGAAGGGGCGCUAGGGGAGGAUCAAACUUCAAAUGGGCAGUAAGGGUUGGACCCCACUCUAGCGCGCUCACGCUGCCGUGCGAUAGAUGGAUAGCUCACUGUUCACGUGCAAUAGGAUGCGUACGUAGUACGUACCUGUGAUCAUAGAUCAUAUUGUCGUCCUCUACGGUUUUGACUUGACGCCACGAUGGAUAACGCGUUGGAAUCUGAUUUUUGGUUCGGGGGACGCGUGUCGGAUCCAAACCCAAUUUUUAAGUAUCAAAUUCCAAAAACCAAAAGCAUCCGCUUUCUUUUUUCUUUUCUCUUUCUGGGCCUGGGCCCAAACGUGAUGAAGUCUUUUCAAUAUUAUCAAUAUGGGCCACCUACUCUACGACUAUAAUCACCAAGCUGCACACUUGCUCAUCGUAAUGGUAAGAGGAUCAACAAAAGAUUCUUUUUAAUUUUACUGUUUAAAUAGUAAAUGCUUAUUUGUUUAUUACCAUAAAGAAGAGUAGUCAAUGAAAAAAUAAGUUUCCUUUUAAAAGAUUUGUUUAAAAAAAAAUUUAUGUUUUUUUAGUCAAAUUUUUUCUUCUACUAAAAUAAUAGCAAUUAUAGUACUUGUCUCUAUUCAACAAUGAUGGGAUAAACACUAAUAUAAUAUUAAAUUAAAAGUUUUAAAAGACUCUUUAAAUAAGAUUAUUCAAAUAAAAUUGUCUUUCUCUCUCUUUAAUAUAAAAAAAAAAACAGAAAAAUAAUCUUAUUUGAGUUGUUUUUGGUGAUUAUGAUUCGAUGAUUCGAACCCGAUAUUUGAUUUUGCACCUCAACUUCUCAAGCAUCCUCAUUCUCUUGCGCCUCCAUAUUUUGCUUAAUUAUUAUUAUUAUUUUUCUUUUUUUUAGGGAAUCAUUUUAUUUUAUCCUCCGGUUCUUUUGCUCAACUUUUUAGAUGCUAUAGGUUUAAGGGUAUAAAUUGUAAACGACGUUUGUUAAAUGGGCUUAUCAUCUACGCUUGGCGAGACCCAUGCCAUGUACAUUAGGAGCCCAAUUCCUUGGCUGGGCAAAAUUGCCAUGGGGAAGAGAAUCACCUGGGCGAAGGAACUUCUGACUGGUGCGCGGUCCAAUAAUGACCCACCAUCUGAUCGCUCUUAUUGAGUGUUUAUUUUUUAUUUUUUGUGGGACCCAUAGCUUUUCAUUUAAAUUUGUCUGUCACCUGUGGCAGAUAAGUUUUGUCCAUGGUCAUGAAAAUAAACUAUAACGUUUGGAUGAUUGGACUAUUAAUUAUUAGGAUUUGAUUCGAUUCGGUAGUACUGUUUUUUUAUUUGGAAUAAAAUCGUAUAUAAA
rnacentral:lncRNA from 1 species